rfam:Lepisosteus oculatus linkage group LG10, whole genome shotgun sequence.
AUCUCCAGUGCCUACUGAGCUGAUUACAGUUGAUUUAUUGAGCACUGGCUCAGUUCAGCAGGAACCGGAG